CCUACGGGUGGCUGCAGUAGGGAAUCUUUCACAAUGGGCGAAAGCCUGAUGGAGCAACGCCGCGUGCAGGAUGAAGGCCUUCGGGUUGUAAACUGCUUUUAUAAGCGAGAAAUAUGAUGGUAACUUAUGAAUAAGGAUCGGCUAACUACGUGCCAGCAGCCGCGGUCAUACGUAGGAUCCGAGCAUUAUCCGGAGUGACUGGGUGUAAAGAGUUGCGUAGGUGGCAUAAUAAGUAGCUAGUGAAAUCUGGUGGCUCAACCAUUCAGACUAUUAGCUAAACUGUUAAGCUCGAGACCGUUAGGGGUAACUGGAAUUCCUAGUGUAGCGGUGAAAUGCGUAGAUAUUAGGAGGAACACCAGUGGCGAAGGCGGCUUACUGGACUGUAACUGACGUUGAGGCUCGAAAGCGUGGGGAGCAAACAGGAUUAGAUACCCGGGUAGUC
rnacentral:rRNA from 1 species